CAAAAAAUUAGCCGGGUAUGGUGGCACAUGCCUGUAGUCCCAGCUAUUUGGGAGGCUGAGGCCGGAGAAUUGCUUGAACCGGGAGGCGGAGGUUCCAGUAAGCCGAGAUUGUGCCACUGCACUCCAGCCUGCGUGACAGAGUGAGGACUCUGUCUCAAAAAAAUAAUAAUACUUUUUUUCCUCAAUUGCAGUGCCUAGUACCCUGCACAGCAUACAGCAGGUGCUCAGUAAAUGCUAAUCUAGUUACUACACACAGAACCUAAGCUGCUCAGUUCACUAACAGUAUGAUGAAUCAUUUUAGUCCUGAGUUAAUCAGUGUGUUGUAAGCAAUUCAAACUAUAGGCCCAUAUUUCAACAUCAGUGAGACUCCAUGAGCUAAAAAUUGCUCCUUGGAUUGAGUGAUUUGUUUAAAGGAGCAUUUUUUCCACUCUCCAGGUAAUAGGGUGAAAGUGGAGAAACAGAGACGGAAUGAAGUUUUUGAAGGAAAGCAGACCAUGGGACCUCCGCUUGUCACCAUGCCACAUGUCAGGAUAGCCACUGAGCAAGCCUGUAAGGCUAUUGGUCUGCCCAUUCUGGCUUCUUCACCAAUGAGAAAACUAGGACCUGGGGAGUUUGCAGAAGCCAUCCAAGGACACCUGCCUCUCACAGCGCAGCAGCUUCCUGCAGCCCUGCCCCCUGUCUUGUUCUUCCCUUGGUUGAGAGGAGAGGCCAGAACCAGAUGCAGGCACUUCCAACAGUAAUGAAUUGCUGUAAGGUACAGAGCCAAGAACCAGUGACAAGGUCAGGAAAUUCCACCCUGGGACACUGACCCAACUAAGAGACUGUGCAUGAUGGCUAAGUUCAGAGCUCUGAGGAGAUGGUAAAACUCAUUUUCAGUGAAACAAGAUAUUUCCCAACUCUGCAGCCAGAUGAGUAGGGUGUUUGCAUUCUUGAAAAUUGGUUUCUGAAAUAUUUGGCGGAGGAGGCUGUGAAUGGUGUUUGCAGAUGUCAAACAGCACCCCCUGGUGGAAUGCAGUGGCCCUGAGUCCUGGUCCAGCCAGCCCUUUUUUUUUUUUUUUCAAUUGUGUAAAUUUAAGAUGUACAACAAGAUGUUUUGAUAUACAUAUUUAUAAUGGAGUGAUUAUUUAAAGAUGAGAAAUUUAAUAUAUCCAUCUCCUUCUAUAGUUUCCUUGAGUGUGUCCACACUAAC
rnacentral:lncRNA from 1 species